rnacentral:rRNA from 1 species
GUGCCAGCCGCCGCGGUAAUACGUAGGUGGCAAGCGUUGUCCGGAUUUACUGGGCGUAAAGGGUGCGUAGGCGGAUCUUUAAGUGAGAUGUGAAAUCCCCGAGCUUAACUUGGGGGCUGCAUUUCAAACUGGAGGUCUAGAGUGCAGGAGAGGAGAGUGGAAUUCCUAGUGUAGCGGUGAAAUGCGUAGAGAUUAGGAAGAACACCAGUGGCGAAGGCGACUCUCUGGACUGUAACUGACGCUGAGGCACGAAAGCGUGGGGAGCAAACAGGAUUAGAAACCCGGGUAGUCC